GAGCCUGCCCCUGCAAGUGAUGAUGCUAACUGCCUGUUCAAGGACAGGCCAGAAUACUUCAUGAGGCUGGGCUGCUCAUGGGGCCACAGAGUCCCCUUCAGGACUUCAAAAGGAUCAAUUCCAUCUAGCCUACCCAAUGCUCUGCCUGCUAGGCUGCACGUCUCUGUCUGACCUCCUUCCUCAAUGGCUGCAGCCCAUCAAUGCUUCCUAGCAGCUCUGUCCUGACCUGGGUGGCAGACACCCCAGCUGUCGCCCUCCUCACUGUUCCUUCCCUUAUCUUCCUGCUUGGACACAUCUUAGGCCAUCUGAGAUUUUGCAUCUCGGCUGUCUCCUAGGCCCUGAGCCACUUCGACCCUGAGGAUCAGAGAUGGCUGUCCCGAUUACCCUACUUUCUUGGUUCCCUGCAGCUUCAGAGGUUGAGGCCUUCAUAGGAUUGAGACCUUCCUCCAGAGGGCCUGGGGCCUGGUGCCCCCAGAAGCUGCUGAAGGAACCAGCCCGCCAGGCUCCUCCGUCCAUGGGAUUAUCCCGGCAAGAAUACUGGAGUGGGUGGCCAUUUCCUCCUCCAGACCCAACACGCCUGGUGUCCUUAUAAGAAGAGAAAAUGUGGAGACAUAAAGAGACACCAAAGAUGCCUACACACAGGGAAAAGACCCCGUGAAGACACCGCCACCUGUAGCCUCAGGAGAAACCAAACCUGCCGACACCUUGAUCUUGACUUCCAGCCUCUAGAUGGAUAGACAGUACACUUCUGUUGUUUAAGUCACCCAGUCUGCGGUAUUUUGUUGUGGUGGCCCUAACAAACCAAAACACUUUCAUAAAAGGUGUUCUGAGCUGGUUUCCUUGAGAAGGGGACAUUUGAGAAAAACCCUGAAGGAUGCAAUGGUGUGGGGGGAAAUCUUCUGAAAUUCCGAUGGAAGAGCAUCCCAGGUUUUGGGGCUCUGACGGGCCUCACACCUCGAGUGCCCACAGGACAACAUGGACACCAGUGCAUGCAAAAAAGCAGAGUGGGUGAUGGAGAAAACGGGCGGAUGGGAGAUCAGAGAUGGGACGGGAUGUGGGAGGGCGUUCUCUGCAGGAGGUGGGGAGUUGCUGUGGAGUUUAGAGCGGUGGUUCUCAGUUGGGAAGAAGAGGGUUUUGUGUCCAAAUCUGACAAGUGUCUGAAG
ensembl:lncRNA